rfam:Schistosoma mansoni strain Puerto Rico chromosome 6, complete genome
GUCUAGGUGACGAGUCCCAAAUAGGACGAAAGGCGCUUCCUAAAU